CUCUUUCAAAGCCUAACAAAAGUAUUGCGCUGAGAUUGAAGGAGGUGGGUGCCGGUGGAAACACUUGCUCGGUGUUUUUUGUAGAUUAGUGAAUGAGCAGGGAAGAAGUUGUCGUUCAAGCUAUGCACA
ensembl:ncRNA F25H10.9 ncRNA